UUGCCAUGGCUACGCUUAUUUAAAAUGUAGUGAAGAAUAAAUCUGGAAGAGAAGAGGUGGGAUCACUAAUUUGAUUAAAUACCAUUUACACUCUCUUCCUUGUUUCAUCAAUGAGAAGUCUAUAAUUAAUGCUGUUCACCUGUGGUUAACAAAAGCAGCAGUUUCCACUGUGAUUAGAUCACAAUGUGAAAGCUUGCAUCCGUCUGGUUAAUGUGACCAAACAGGAGCUCAGGAAUGCCAGCUUUAAGAUUCCACAGGCUAGGCGAAGCAACACAGGAUAACGAUUCGGAAGCUACAGUCAUCUCCAUGGCAACAGACUGAUGCAGGUAAUGACGGAUGAGUCACGGUUGACCUUGCGCGGAGGGAAAGGAGUCGUUCCUCAGGAGUAAUACGGGUCCUGACUGCCUGAGCUCCUCGCGUUUCCUGCUUCGGCAAAAGCCUCGGCAGGUGGCAAGCCCUGCAUUGCGAUUGCUGUGCGGAGAUUUUCAGUUACACAAAAGGCAGAGCAAAGAGGAAUUCAUUCAAACGGACUGCGGCAUUUCACCGGUUCGCCGAGGACCGUUUGCUUUCUUUUCCUCCGUUUCCCACGUCAUCCCAAACACCGAACAGAGGUGAGAGGUCAGAGAGGCAACUUUCGUGCAGUUCUGUCUGCACGUCUAAAUGCACAUCGGUCCUCUUAUCUGAAAAAACUAAAAUCUCUCCAAACAAAAUUACUCCCAUUAUAGUAAUGUAUACAGCUUUUGUUGCAAGAUGGAACAUUAUCACCAAAGUGUCGGUCUAAUUUUUCAUUGUCUCACUAUCCCCCUGCCCCCAGAUUACAAUCCACUGACUGAAUAUUUUCUGUGUGGUUCAUUGGU